CACGUGGGCAAUCUGCCCUUCACUCUGGGACAAGCCCUGGAAACGGGGUCUAAUACCGGAUAACACCUUCUCUCGCAUGGGAGGGGGUUGAAAGCUCCGGCGGUGAAGGAUGAGCCCGCGGCCUAUCAGCUAGUUGGUGAGGUAGAAGCUCACCAAGGCGACGACGGGUAGCCGGCCUGAGAGGGCGACCGGCCACACUGGGACUGAGACACGGCCCAGACUCCUACGGGAGGCAGCAGUGGGGAAUAUUGCACAAUGGGCGAAAGCCUGAUGCAGCGACGCCGCGUGAGGGAUGACGGCCUUCGGGUUGUAAACCUCUUUCAGCAGGGAAGAAGCGCAAGUGACGGUACCUGCAGAAGAAGCGCCGGCUAACUACGUGCCA
rnacentral:rRNA from 1 species